CAGUAGCCGCGGUAAUACGGAGGGGGCUAGCGUUGUUCGGAAUUACUGGGCGUAAAGCGUGCGCAGGCGGUUUUGUAAGACAGGCGUGAAAUCCCCGGGCUCAACCUGGGAAUGACGCUUGUGACUGCAAAGCUAGAGUGCGGCAGAGGGGGAUGGAAUUCCGCGUGUAGCAGUGAAAUGCGUAGAUAUGCGGAGGAACACCGAUGGCGAAGGCAAUCCCCUGGGCCUGCACUGACGCUCAUGCACGAAAGCGUGGGGAGCAAACAGGAUUAGAUACCCGUGUAGUCCCUGUCUCUUAUAC
rnacentral:rRNA from 1 species